rnacentral:lncRNA from 1 species
AGAAGAAUGUUUGGACUUAGCUUAUUUUGGAUAGGUUACUGAUAGAAAUUAUAAUCUGUUAAUAAUUACAUCAGAUAGCUAUUUCUCUAAAUUUUAAUGACCACCCUAUUUGUAUAAUAAUUUAGAAAUAUAUCUAACAGCUAAAAUAAACAUGUAAAUUAAUGUCCUAUUUCAGCUUAAAGGUUUUGAGGUCUUACAGAUAACAAUUCUAGGAGACAUGCCCUAACUUAUCAAAAAAUUCUUAGUAAAUCAUCUGGUCUUUGAACAAAAUCUAGAAACAAAAUUUUGCCCAUUUUAUUAUGGUUAAAAAUAUAUUUUGAAGUUUUAUUUAAGAAAUGAUCUAAUUGUCAGGUUAAGUUGCAAUUCAUGGUUUAACUUAGUUUGAUAAAUUCCUUUUAGUAUACAACUCAUUUUAAUAUACAGUGAAGACACAGGUCUUUUGCAACAUAAAAAGAUAUAAAAAAACGAAAAUUUUAAAUAAGUUUCUAAAUAAUGGAAGAAGUGAAAAAGAACAACACAAAGAAAAUAAAGAAGUAACCUCUUUCACCCACUGAAAUAAUCUCUGGAAAAGAUAUUAGCAAUCAUGCAGCUUAUAAAUAUCUAAAGGGCUAGAAUUGAGGAAUUUAUAAGAAUAAAUUUUUUUUUCAACACAUAAAAUACAACAUGGGAAAUAAGAUGUUUUUUACUAACAGGCAAACACUUGAGGAGUCCUCUUCAAAGACUACAGUGGAUGAAAGAACAGUUAUCCAAAGGAAACGGUUAGUAGAAAUAUAAAGUUAGUCCCACACAAAAUUAAAAUGUGCUCAAUGCAGAUUAUCUAUCAUAAAACAUUUUUAAAGCAAUUAUAUUUAAAUAAAUUCCCUUGAAUUUUUGUUAGAGGUAUCAAUUUUGCAAGUAAGGAAAAAUAAAAAUAGUAUAUUGCCUUCAGUUAGGUCAAAAACCAAAAGUUUUUUAAAAAUGCACACAUACCAAAAAACCCCACAUUAGUUUUAACACUAAGUUACUCAGUUCUAUUGGAAUCUGUAUUUUAGAACUGAGCAGGACCUUAAAACUCACCUAUUCUACAUGCUCAUUUUGGAAACAAGGACGAAGAACCAGUCUAAGUGACUUAUUUAAGGUCAUGCAGUCAGUUAGAAGCAAAGCUCGCACUAGAGUACAGACCUUCUGACUAUUAAGUUAAUUAUAUUCUCCAUACUACCUCAAACUGCCUACUCUCUGGGAAACUGCCUGUUAGGAUUUUUUAACACACUCAUCAACCUAGAAAGUUUCUGUCUUAUGCAAACAGGCCCCUUUCCUUCCUUGUCCUUCUUCUCCAAGGUUCCUAAAGGGGCAGAAAGACCAUUAUUUCCCAUAUGCUCUACAGAGCUCCAGUGCUUUUUAGUCAUUCAGAGCACAUCUCCACAGAGUUGCAAGACUGAAAAGCCAAAUCUCCAGAUCCUUUACUUUCUGUAUGAUCCUCAGAAGCAUGGAGAGACCAAGGGAACAAUAAGCCAUAGGAUAAAGAGGAUGGAGAGAGGGAGGAACAUGAAUUAUAGGAUAGAGGAAAAUGGGCAAAAAAUAGAAAAUAAAAGACGCAGAGGAAACUUGUUACUUCCUCUGUCUGGGAAAGAAAGUGAUAGAAACAUUAGUUAUUAAUUGUCUCCUUUACCUCUCCCUUGAACACUGUGCAACCUGCAGAUGUGGAAAAAGACCAAGUGAAGUUGUUACUUGAUAUCCUGAAAAUGUCAGAAACUCAAAGAUAAGGAAGAGAGAAUGUACUGGAAAGUGAUAUUGUCACGGUGAAAUGAAUCUUAGAGGACAUGAAAGAAAACUUAGGAUCCAUGUGACUUCUGAAAUAAUUUUGGAUAAUUGAGGCAAGAACUUAGAAGAAAA